ACUGUACACGUAUGCCUAACAACAAAAUUAUUUUCAUUUACCUGUGUUUAAAGUUAUUGCAAAUGGAUGGUAUUUUUGUUCGAGCAUAUUGUUUUUCUUUUAUUGUUUAACAUUUCUUACCUAUAUAACAUGUUACUUUUAUUAUUCUUCCCUUAUUUAUUUAUUUUGUAUUUACAUUGUGUCAUAGGUCAAAUUUAUUUGUUCAGUGUAUGUUCAAUGGUGUUAAUAUGUCCUUUGAUUGAGUUAAGCUAUUUCAGUUGAUAUUUUAUAGUGUGUCUUUCUAUGUUGUGAUGUUACACUAUUGUUUCAGGAAAAGGGUGAAGGUUUGGUACCAUUAAAACGUUUAAACCCGC